UACGGGGGGAGCAAGCGUUGUUCGGAUUUACUGGGCGUAAAGCGCGCGUAGGCGGCUUUGCAAGUCGGGUGUGAAAUCCCCAGGCUUAACCUGGGAACUGCAUUCGAGACUGCAUUGCUAGAGUAUGGGAGAGGGAAGUGGAAUUUCCGGUGUAGCGGUGAAAUGCGUAGAUAUCGGAAGGAACAUCAGUGGCGAAAGCGACUUCCUGGACCAAUACUGACGCUCAUGUGCGAAAGCGUGGGGAGCAAACAGG
rnacentral:rRNA from 1 species